CCGGGUUCAAGCGAUUCUCCUGUCUCAGCCUCCUGAGUAGCUAGAUUACAGGUGCCCGCCACUAUGCCCAGCUAAUUUUUGGUAUUUUUAGUAGAGAUGGGUUUUCACAACAUGUUGGCGAGGCUGGUCCUGAACUCCUGACCUCAGGUGAUCCGCCCGCCUGGGCCUUCCAAAGUGCUGGGAUUACAGGCAUGAGCCACCACGCCCGGCUGAGAUUUUUUAUAGAUAGGAUUUUUUAAGAGAAUGCAGGACAGGACUAACAAAAAGAAAAAAAGAAAUACCCCUCUACUCCACACGAGUUAUUAAGAAAUUAUUUUAGGCAAAUGGAGAGGAAAAGUGGUCCUUGGAAGGUUUUUCGUAGCUCCAGAAAAAUUUCUUGUCUAGCAUAAAAGCCCUGGCUCUUAAAGGCUGGCAACCUUUAAGAUGCAAAUGCAAGAGGGUCCACCCAACAUGGCGAUUCCCACCGUUGUCCUCUUGCCCUUGCUCCAUCAGGUACCUAACAGCAUGGCCGCCCCCACAUAACCCCGUGUGUAAAAUGUCAUGGCAUCCUGCAUUUGUGUAUUAAAGGACUGGGGUGGGAGGGCCAGUUUUCUUGAGGGCUAAAUGACAUGCCUGGUCAAACCAAUCCUCUGAGCCCUAUGCAAAUAAGACACCACCCCCUCCAGCCGUCACAUAAAACUGGCUAGUAUUGUCAGAAUGUAAGGUCUCCUCUUUCAGCUUUAGAGCCCCCCUCCCUCUGUCUGUGUAAGGGGGAGCUUCUUCCUUCUGCCUUCUCCCUUCUUGCCUAUUAAACGCUCUGCUCCUUAAAACCACUCCACGUGUGUCCGUGUCGUUUUAUCUAAUUCAACUCAAAACAAAAAACCUGGUGUUCCUCUACUCCUCAAAGCCAUAUCAGUAACAAGGCAGUGUCCCAGGUACAAAGCAGGAACAAGGACUCUAAAUAUCAUUCAGCUAGAAUUCUG
rnacentral:lncRNA from 10 species